AGCAGCCGCGGUAAUUCCAGCUCCAAUAGCGUAUAUUAAAGUUGUUGCAGUUAAAAAGCUCGUAGUUGAAUUUCGGGACCAAUUUGUUGGUCGUGCCUCGGUACGUACUGGUAUUAUUGGUUUCUCCCUUCUGAAGAACCUUGAUGUCAUUAAUUUGGUGUCUUGGGGAAUCAGGACUGUUACUUUGAAAAAAUUAGAGUGUUUAAAGCAAGCAUACGCUUGAAUACAUUAGCGUGGAAUAAUGAAAUAGGACGUUUGAUUCUAUUUUGUUGGUUUCUAGGAUCGACGUAAUGAUUAAUAGGGAUAGUUGGGGGCAUUAGUAUUCAAUUGUCAGAGGUGAAAUUCUUGGAUUUAUUGAAGACUAACUACUGCGAAAGCAUUUGCCAAGGAUGUUUUCAUUAAUCAAGAACGAAAGUUAGGGGAUCGAAGACGAUCAGAUACCGUCGUAGUCUUAACCAUAAACUAUGCCGACUAGGGAUCGGAUGAUGUUAAUUUUUAAUGACUCAUUCGGCGCCUUACG
rnacentral:rRNA from 1 species